rnacentral:rRNA from 1 species
CAGCCGUAAACUAUGCGCGUUAGGUGUAUCGGUGACCACGAGUUACCGAGGUGCCGAAGGGAAACCGUGAAACGUGCCGCCUGGGAAGUACGGUCGCAAGGCUGAAACUUAAGGAAUUGGCGGGGGAGCACCACAACAGGUGGAGCCUGCGGUUUAAUUGGACUCAACGCCGGGAAGCUCACCGGAUAGGACAGCAGAAUGAUUGCCGGGCUGAAGACCCUGCAUGACUAGCUGAGAGGAGGUGGCAUGGCGUAGACGUCU